GUAGGGGGCGAACGUUGUCCGGAUUUAUUGGGCGUAAAGAGCUCGUAGGCGGCUCAGCAAGUCGGCCGUGAAAGCCCGGGGCUCAACCCCGGGACGCCGGUCGAAACUGCUGUGGCUAGGGUCCGGUAGAGGAGAGUGGAAUUCCCGGUGUAGCGGUGAAAUGCGCAGAUAUCGGGAGGAACACCAGUAGCGAAGGCGGCUCUCUGGGCCGGUACCGACGCUGAGGAGCGAAAGCUAGGGGAGCAAACAGGAUUAGAUACCCUGGGUAGUCCUAGCCGUAAACGUUGGGCACUAGGUGUGGCGGACUCAUUGACGUCUGCCGUGUCGUAGCUAACGCAUUAAGUGCCCCCGCCUGGGGAGUACGGUCGCAAGGCUA
rnacentral:rRNA from 1 species